GAAUAUUUAUUGAUUAUUUCAUACUAUAUAUGUGUUUUAUAUAAUCUCCCAUAUACGGAGGAUCCGUCUUAUAAAUAAAGCAGGAAUGUCUAAAAGUAAAAGUGUGGAAUCGAGAGAAGCAUCUGGACCUCUUCGACCCCGUGAUUACCUAAAGUAAAUAUCGACAGGUUGGGCCCGAAAUAGCGGGAGCAGAUCUAGCACGGGCCCAUUACUAUCCAUAAGCGGUGCGCUAUCCGUGGAACGACCUCACGACGUAAGUGACCCGCUGCGGGACCGAAGGAGGCCUCCUUCAGAGGGGGGUCCUGAUGGGGAAUCUCGCAGAGAUGAGCAGCUCGUGGGAGGCCGGGGUUAGUGAAAGUGAAAUACUGCAAGUAGAGUAACGUCUAUCCGUAGUGCCGCGUAUUUCGCGCUGCUCUAGUCGAUGGUGAGGAUCGUCUUAGAGAAGGAAGAUCGCGUGAAUGUCUCCGCACAUCUUACUCUAUUAUCUAUUUAGAUAAAAAAGAUGCACGUUGCUACCGCGAUUGCCCUUAUUAAAGCACAGACAGCAGCUAAAGGUUACAAUAUCCAUCAAUGAUCAUCCCAUCCAGUAUCCAAUAUAGAAAGACCGGACCAUAAUCGUAUUAGCGUUUCUACUGAAAUCCAUCAGUGAUUUAAUACGAUUGCAAUAAUCAUUUAUGCAUUGCAAAAUCAUCCACUCCUCUAGAACUAAUCGUUAAUGAAGUCUAACUUGAGGAUUGGCUGUAUUAGAAUUCAUCUAUUUUAUGAGUACCUUAAGAAUUCUUUAUAGAACUCAUGGCAAUUAGAAUAAACAUGGAAAUAAUAUUGUAAAAGAAAAAAAAGUGAUUACGAUUAUAAUAGCAGUGUCUAAUGCAUUCGUCACUCAUCGCUAUGACGAAUAAGUUCUCAUAUUGCAAUGAAUGUAUGAAUACAUGAAAAUUAAUCAUGAUAUUUUUUCAAAUUAUUUCUACGAAUAAAGCAUAUACUAAGACAAUAGAAUGUUUAUAUAAUCUGUAAUAUUUAAAAGUGUUAAUUUUAAAAUUAAAGAGAGAGAAAGAGAGAUUCUUAAACUAUUUUAUUUAAAUAAGAUGUCUGUGUCAGUAAUGUUAUUUUGACUUAUCUUUAGUAUAUUAUUUUUAUUAAUGAAAUAAAAUAAUUUAAAAUAUAUUAUAUACGGUAUAACCUUCUAAUUCAUUGCUCAAUUAAUUUAUUUUGAAGUGAUAUCUUAAAUGUAGCGAAAGAAAUGUUUAAGUAUAGAUAAGUACAAGUUCCACAUAACGUUCUUCCAACGCGGCGCGGUGCAAUGCUUCCGCGAUAAUUACAUCAAAUUUGUUCUCACGAGCGCGAGACUUUAAUCGCGCUUUCCGCGCCGCACUUGGUUCCCUCGCAAAACAUGCUCGGAAUCCACUUAUUGUAUUAUAUAUAACAUCGACAAUUGUGUCUCACGAUCUCCGUCGGAAUCUUCCAAGUGAGAAAAAACAGUUAAGUCAUUUUGUCCCGUCGACAAAUAAUUUCUGUUAAUAAAAAAAAUAAAAAAAAAUAAAAACAGGGUAAUGAUCCGCGUUGCAUAAUCUUGAAGUGAUGUGCUGCAACAAAUCGAUCACAUUAAUGCUCGAAAGAAUUACGAUUACAACAUAGUCGUGAGAAAAGUUUGAUGUAUCUAGUGUAUUUGAAUAUAUCUGUGUUGCGAAUACAUUGAACUUCAUGAAAAUCAGGGCGAACAAAACGAGAAGUAUUAUCAGCAAUCUCUCUUUACAACAAUUGCAUUACAUCAACUACGGAUCACUCGAAAAAGAAAGACAACUCGUCCUUGUCAUCUUGCGCGCUCUGUUCUUUUUUACAAUUUCUUUAUACCGAUCACAUCAUGACGAUGCUUACCGGAUUAUUAUGUGAAAUAAUAAUUAGCUGUUGAUUGAACUUCGUAAUAACCACAAGGAAGAUGAUUAAGAUAAUUGAAGUAUGUGAUAAUUGGUAUGCUAUGCGGAUGAUAUAAAACUUCAAAGAAAUUUAAAAAAUGAAGAUCUUCCUUUAAAUUAUUUUAUUUUUUUACAAAGAGCAGAUCCGGGGUUAAAGAUAUAGCGCUUGUUUUACACAUUACACAGACAUUAAUAUUUUAAUUAGCUAUAAAUUUUACAUUGCUAUUUUAUUUUCUAUAAAUAAAUAUUACUGUUAAUAAGAGAAUGUUGAAAAGAGAAAAGAAUAAAACUUCCAUAAAUAUGCAUUUUGCUGCAUCGGUUAACUACAAUAGCAAACCCUAAGUUAAAAAAAAAAAAACA